GGCGCUGUCAUGGCGGGUGUGCUGAAGAAGACCACUGGCCUUGUGGGAUUGGCUGUCUGCAAUACUCCUCACGAGAAAUUCAAAUAAGAAAAAUUAAAAAAAAAAAUUUGCAGUGCUUGGGACCUCACUUUGAAAAAUACUGAUUCAGGCUGGGUGGGCUCAUGCCUGUAAUCCCAGCACUUUGGGAGGCCGAGGUGGGCGGAUCACCUGAAGUCAGGAGUUUGAGACCAUCCUGGCCAACAUGGCAAAACCCUGUCUCUACUAAAAAUAGAAAAAGUAGCCAGAGGCUAAGAAUAUUGUACACAAAGAUUCUUGAUGUUCUUGAGGAAAUCCCUAAAAAUGCAGCAUAUAGAAAGUAUACAGAACAGAUUACAAAUGAGAAGCUGGCUAUGGUUAAAGCGGAACCAGAUGUUAAAAAAUUAGAAGACCAACUUCAAGGCGGUCAAUUAGAAGAGGUGAUUCUUCAGGCUGAACAUGAACUAAAUCUGGCAAGAAAAAUGAAGGAAUGGAAACUAUGGGAGCCAUUAGUGGAAGAGCCUCCUGCCGAUCAGUGGAAAUGGCCAAUAUAAUUAUUAAGUGACUUUGGUGUGUUGAUGGGAAACUGAUGUAAUUAAAUAUUCUGUUAUAUUAAGAGCGUGUUCUUAUUACUGACAUUUUGUAAUCAAGAAAAGUGAUAUAAAAAAUAUG
rnacentral:sRNA from 1 species